GACGAACGCUGGCGGCGUGCUUAACACAUGCAAGUCGAACGGAAAGGCCCUGCUUUUGUGGGGUGCUCGAGUGGCGAACGGGUGAGUAACACGUGAGUAACCUGCCCUUGACUUUGGGAUAACUUCAGGAAACUGGGGCUAAUACCGGAUAGGAGCUCCUGCUGCAUGGUGGGGGUUGGAAAGUUUCGGCGGUUGGGGAUGGACUCGCGGCUUAUCAGCUUGUUGGUGGGGUAGUGGCUUACCAAGGCUUUGACGGGUAGCCGGCCUGAGAGGGUGACCGGCCACAGUGGGACUGAGAUACGGGCCAGACUCCUACGGGAGGCAGCAGUGGGGAAUAUUGCACAAUGGGCGGAAGCCUGAUGCAGCAACGCCGCGUGCGGGAUGACGGCCUUCGGGUUGUAAACCGCUUUCGCCUGUGACGAAGCGUGAGUGACGGUAAUGGGUAAAGAAGCACCGGCUAACUACGUG
rnacentral:rRNA from 1 species